GACGAACGCUGGCGGCAUGCCUAAUACAUGCAAGUCGAGCGAACAGAUGAAGUGCUUGCACUUCUGACGUUAGCGGCGAACGGGUGAGUAACACGUAAGGAAUCUACCUAUAAGCGGGGGAUAACAUUCGGAAACGGGUGCUAAUACCGCAUAAUAUCUUCUUCCGCAUGGAAGAAGAUUGAAAGACGGCUCUGCUGUCACUUAUAGAUGACCUUGCGGUGCAUUAGUUAGUUGGUGGGGUAAUGGCCUACCAAGACGAUGAUGCAUAGCCGACCUGAGAGGGUGAGCGGCCACAUUGGGACUGAGACACGGCCCAAACUCCUACGGGAGGCAGCAGUAGGGAAUCUUCCGCAAUGGGCGAAAGCCUGACGGAGCAAUGCCGCGUGAGUGAAGAAGGCCUUGGGGUCGUAAAACUCUGUUAUAAGAGAAGAACAAAUUGUAGAGUAACUGCUACAGUCUUGACGGUAUCUUAUCAGAAAGCCACGGCUAACUACGUGCCAGCCGCCGCAGUAA
rnacentral:rRNA from 1 species